UACCCGCAGCACAAGUGGUGGUCAUUAUUAUUGGGCCUAAAGCGUCCGUAGCUGGCCUGUUAGAUGCCUGGGUAAAUCGAUGCGCUCAACGUAUCGAAUUCCGGGUAGACCGGCAGGCUCGAGACCGGGAGAGGCGUGAGCUACUCAAGGGGUAGGGGUAAAAUCCUGUAAUCCUUUGGGGAGGACCAGUGGCGAAGGCGUCACGCUAGAACGGCUCUGACAGUGAGGGACGAAGCCCUGGGGCGCAAACCGG
rnacentral:rRNA from 1 species